GACGAACCGUCCAAACGUUAUUCGGAAUUACUGGGCUUAAAGGGUUUGUAGGCGGCGCUGUUAGUCGGGUGUGAAAUCCCAGGGCUCAACCCUGGAACUGCGCCCGAUACUGCAGUGCUUGAGGGAGACAGAGGUAAGCGGAACUGAUGGUGGAGCGGUGAAAUGCGUUGAUAUCAUCAGGAACACCGGUGGCGAAAGCGGCUUACUGGGUCUCUUCUGACGCUGAGAAACGAAAGCUAGGGGAGCGAAGGGG
rnacentral:rRNA from 1 species